rnacentral:rRNA from 1 species
UUAUUGGAGAGUUUGAUCCUGGCUCAGGACGAACGCUGGCGGCGUGCCUAACACAUGCAAGUCGAACGGAGAAUUUUAUUUCGGUAGAAUUCUUAGUGGCGAACGGGUGAGUAACGCGUAGGCAACCUGCCCUUUAGACGGGGACAACAUUCCGAAAGGAGUGCUAAUACCGGAUGUGAUCAUCGUGCCGCAUGGCAGGAUGAAGAAAGAUGGCCUCUACAAGUAAGCUAUCGCUAAAGGAUGGGCCUGCGUCUGAUUAGCUAGUUGGUAGUGUAACGGACUACCAAGGCGAUGAUCAGUAGCCGGUCUGAGAGGAUGAACGGCCACAUUGGGACUGAGACACGGCCCAAACUCCUACGGGAGGCAGCAGUGGGGAAUCUUCCGCAAUGGACGAAAGUCUGACGGAGCA